rnacentral:rRNA from 1 species
GAUGAACGCUAGCGGGAGGCCUAACACAUGCAAGCCGAGCGGUAUUGUUUCUUCGGAAAUGAGAGAGCAGCGUACGGGUGCGAAACACGUGUGCAACCUGCCUUUAUCUGGGGGAUAGCCCUUCGAAAGGAAGAUUAAUACUCCAUAAUAUAUUGAACGGCAUCGUUUGAUAUUGAAAGCUCCGGCGGAUAGAGAUGGGCACGCGCAAGAUUAGCUAGUUGGUGAGGUAACGGCUCACCAAGGCGAUGAUCUUUAGGGGGCCUGAGAGGGUGAUCCCCCACACUGGUACUGAGACACGGACCAGACUCCUACGGGAGGCAGCAGUGAGGAAUAUUGGUCAAUGGGUGCAAGCCUGAACCAGCCAUCCCGCGUGAAGGACGACUGCCCUAUGGGUUGUAAACUUCUUUUGUAUAGGGAUAAACCUACCCUCGUGAGGGUAGCUGAAGGUACUAUACGGAUAAGCACCGGCUAACUCCGUGCCAGCCGCCGCAGUAA